rnacentral:rRNA from 1 species
UACGUAGGGUGCGAGCGUUAAUCGGAAUUACUGGGCGUAAAGCGUGCGCAGGCGGUUCGUUGUGUCGGCGGUGAAAGCCCCGGGCUUAACCUGGGAAUGGCCGUUGAAACUGGCGAACUGGAGUGUGGCAGAGGGGGGUGGAAUUCCGCGUGUAGCAGUGAAAUGCGUAGAGAUCCGGAGGAACACCAGCGGCGAAGGCGGCAUCCUGGACUGGUACUGACGCUCAGGAGCGAAAGCGUGGGGAGCGAUCCGG